CCCGCCUUUCCAAAAAAAAUAUCCAUGCAAAUUUUGGAGCUGGAGGCUCCGUUUCGCAAAUGGGCUGACCAACCAUAUCCACUUGGAAAGUUCGGAGCUCAUUUCUCCAAUGGCCACCCGUAGUAGGGUCUUAGGAGGACCCGACACUACUCUCUUCUUCUCUCGAAACUAAAACCAAAGCAGCAGCUACCCCAAGGACAACCUCAGUAUCAUUCUCUCCGCCAAUCCGACUUCAGUACCCCAAAACUCUGCUGCUGUUGGUUCCGCUCUAACUCUCUUCACUUGCCCUCAAGAAAAGGUCUCACUGUUUUAGCAGUUGAAGAUAAGGAACCCGAGAUUGCGGAGGAGAUUAACAACGUGAGCCAGAAGAAUGGUGGCUUUGAAUCCGAGAAGCAAACCAAACCAUGCGAACUAUACGUCUGUAAUCUUCCAAGGUGUUCCGACAUUGCAGACCUUGUAGAAAUGUUCAAGUCUUUCGGCUCUGUUCUUUCUGUUGAGGUUUCUCGGAACCCUGAGACCGGUGUAAGCCGAGGAUGUGGUAACAUCACAAUGAGUUCUAUAAAGUCGGCAAGGAAUGCAGUCUCUGCAUUGGAUGGAUCAGAUGUCGGUGGCAGGGAGAAGGAACCCUAAGGCUCUGAACUCAGCAACCACAAAACACCUAUUUUACGAAAAUCCACAUAAGUUGUGAAUAGGCAAUCUUCCAUGGAGUACAAAACUGGAGGAGCUGAGGAAUCUAUUUAGCCAGUUUGGGGUUGUGGAUAGUGCAAGGGUGUUGUAUGAUCGUAGAGGAGGAAAGAACCGUACUUAUGCCUUUCUUUCAUUUUCAUCUUCUGCAGAACGUGAUGCUGCACUUUCAAUGAAUGGAACAGACUUCUAUGAUGGUGUUUUAGUUGUUAAAAGAUGGGUUGAGAGACGACCAAGCUCUGACUGAAAUUUUGCUGCUUGCAUAUAUGUAAUGAGGCUGGACAAAUACAAUAGCUCGAAGCAUUCUCCUUGCCUGAAACAUUGGCAGAGGGUUUGCUUUCUCAUCCUCGUUCCUUCAAAUUCAAGUUUCGUAUCUCACACUGAAGUUUGAGUACCCGUCAAAGUUC